GACUUCAGGCCCAUCGCUCAUCCUUUCUGAGCCCCAUGUCAACUAUAAAAUGGGGGGCUAGCUAACUUACAGAACUGGAAAAGAGCACCUGUGUGUUGCUGGCACAAAUAUGGGUGUGCAAUGAACUUCGGUCCCCAUCUCAGGAGACGCACAGAACCAGGGUUUGACACAUGCCCCAGCUGCUCCACGAAACCUUCCUGGACCCCUUAUCUGAUGGCUGGUAGUAUUUAUUGUCCUUCUCACACUGGAAAGCCACGCUCAUGUGCUCCCACGUGCAUUCGCUCAAGCGAGUUGCUCUAACACAAAACGUCCUGGGUGCUCUCCCGGUGCAAAGCAGUAGACAGGCAUCACCGAGAGACACACGGUCCUACUCCCCACAGAGCAAGUGGGGCAGGGACACCAUGUGGAACCUCCAGCUGACAGCACCUUCCCAGGGCUCUGGGAGCCACCCGCGCAAGAACCCCCUCUUUCUUCCCCCAUCUGCCCUGAGGCCUAGAGGCAGUCUGUGUCACACAGCCUUUAGGAACUCGUCCCUACCCUGAACACACCCCCGGGAAAGCUCAUGUUCCAGAUCAGGAAGCUGCAGCUCAGAAGCAAAGCAACUUGCUAUGACCCCCCACUAUGGGAGAAGGAAGUUAUGGCUCUUUGGAAAAUUGAAAAUAUUUCCUGUGAUGCACUGGGGAGCUAUGGCAUAAGAAGUUCCCUUGACCUCGAGGUUGAAAGCCCUGAUCAGCCACUCAUAGGCUGAGUUGCUUUGCUGUCCUUCACAAAGUAGACAGA